CAAAUCCAUUGAAAUGGUAGUGCCUUAGUUUUGGAGAAUGGACUAUUUCUCUAAUUCUCUAUUGAGUGUGGUACAAAAGGAGUCUGGUGUGAAUGAAGAGCACAAAGUGAUGUUCAUCAAGUGCACUUCUAGAGGGUUGCUGUCUUUGUGGUGGCUUAGCAACAUUUAUCUUGAUAUACUUCACCCAAAACAGAAGUUAUUGUUAGAAUUAUUUUGUUUAUCCCUUUUCAAAGUUGUUUUCUAUUUAAAUAUAACUUAGUGAUGUUGAUGUAAACCAAAAAUCAGAAUACACAAUUGUAACCGCAAGUUCUCAAAUCAUGGGGUUCUAACAGUGGCCCAAUAUGGAUGUAGUGCUCAAUAUAAGAUAUGUAAUUCUAGUUUUAGGUUUCUUGUUAUUUUUUAUUCAUAUCUUCUCUCAUUGCAGAAGAAAGUUGUGCAUUGUAGACUGUUUAGAUGAAACGCAAAUUGAUGUAAAAGAAGAGAAAAGAAACAGUAAUCAGGCCAGAUAAGGAACUGGAAAAAGAAGAAUUGAAACCCUCAAUGUUACUUGUUUUAUAAACCUGUUCUCUACCUGUGUUUCAUAAUGACAUUUGUUAAUGUUUCCAAUGUUUGUGUGGUUGUAGGUGGUCCACAAGCUGCAUGUAUGGGCUGUGCUGGCUUUGCCGCAUUCUCAGUCGUCAUAGAGAAGUUUCUAGAGAGGCAUCAAUAAGUGAAUUAACUUGGAUCAAUUUUGUAUUCUUCGAUCAUAGUUUAAGUUCUUGAUCAAAAUAUUUUGCCCAUACGAUAGAGGGACGUGAUAGGGAGCAAGACAAAUUGCAAUAUUAUUUCACAUCUGUAAUUUAUUUGUAUACAAUGUCAUUGGCGGAUGCAUUCUCCGAACUUGGGAAAGCUCUGUGAUGACAUGGUUUAGUAUUGGAAAAUGCCAAGCAUUACGAAAACCAUAGGGAGCAAUAAUUGUGAUGAACUCUUUAAAGUGCUUAGCACUCCUGUUUAGUGGUAAUAGUUAAUUUCAAUAGAUUUUUCUUUGUAAUUCAUUCUUUUUUUUUGGAAUAUUUAUGGAGUGUUCCUAGGCUUCUUAAAAUCCACCAUUGUUUUCCUUUUUAAAGAGAUAGAAUAUGCUGACAAAUAUAUGCUGAGUUCCGUUAUCUAAUUGUGCUUCUGUAACUACCACAACAAAAAAAAUAUGUUUUUCUAUCUUUAAAAAUGAAACAGUCAUGUUCUUGUGAAAAAAGAGAUAUUCCAAAUUUUGUCCUGAAAUGAUGUCAUACAGUGCAAACGUUACCACGGAAAAGAUAUCCCAACAUGUUUGUAUAGUUAUAUAAAGAUUUUUUCAAUAUAAGCCACACGAUGUAGAUAAUUAAAUUAGCCUAAGCAAUAAUGCAAUAGAAUAUUCACACAAUGGAUUCUUAUAAAACAACAUACACAGAUGAACAUAAAUUCAAACAUGUAACUUACUUUCAAAAUAUUGGAACUAAGCUUUCAACAUAAUCUAUGGCAUCGUCCCAAUAUGCAUUAUCUCUAGUUCUAUUAUCGGUAACAGGUCUACAUACAAUAAUUUAUGUUCGCUUAGUUCUGUUAUCUCUCCUAUUAUAGAGAAUUGUUUCAGAUUCUUCAAUUGAAUGAUACAACAUUUAAACAAACUUUUCAACAAACAGUUGAUAUGCAUGAAAAUAAGUCCCCAUUGGUUUUAGGUAUUUGACAUUGUGGAUUAUUAUUGUAUAUUGAAAACAUAGGAGCAAAAUAAAAGAGUAAUAAAUCAAAGCAAAAGAGAUUUGAACGAAGUUUUAGGGUUACUAACCAGAGGGGAGUCACAGCCGGAGAGAGGCGUAGUGAUUCUGAAUUUGAAGUAGCGCAAUACACAUGGUUUUCAGAUACAAAAUGCCAAGUUUUNAGAGAGAGAGAGAGAGAGAGAGAGAGAGAGAGAGAGAGAGAGAGAGGAAAAAAAUCAUUUGAGUUACUACAAACUAUGAAUACGGUGUUUGAUCACUUGAUUUUAAAAUCUUUGAACAAAAUAGUUAGGAUAACUUUUCGCUCAAUAACUCUCUUCAAUGGUUAUUCUCCCUAUAGAUGAGUAUAACCAUUGAAGGUUUAAGAAUUUCAAUGUAAGUAACAAUUAUAUAAUUAGUUUUAUGCCUAAACCUAAUCAAUAAUUGAACGGUUAAAAUAGGGUAAAUCUCAAAAUUAGGUUCAAAAAUCCUUGUUGAUCUAAAAUUGUAUUAUGGACAAAGUUAAGGUUAAUAAUCAUUAAACACGUAAAAAGCAUUAAGAAUAAGAUUAACCGAAUAAAAUAACUAAGUAAUUGACUAGAAUUCAAAGCAUCUUUUAAAGCUACGUGAACAAAUAAUUAAGAAAAGUUCCUCUUCCAUGACUUAACCUAGCAAGGAUUUAUCUACUAUAUAUAUAUAUAUAUAUAUAUAUAUAUAUAUAUAUAUAUAUAGUAGAUAAAAUAACACACAAAUACAAAUAAAAUAACACAGAAAAGGAUCAUCUGUUGAUGAUUCCUUGGCUCCCGAAUUGUUCCGGUCGCUUCAAUCCUUCGGAAAUCGUGUUUCUACCUUUGUAUGCUCGUCAAAAGGUGUUUUUCCAGUAACCUAUGGGUUCACUUUUUUAUAGGCAUCAAAUUUCCCAAGUUUUAGGGAAAUUGGUUCCCGAUACAAGUAUAUUCCUCGCGAUAUGAGGCAGCCAAUGAGCAUCCCUUUUUGGCAUGUCACUCUAUAUCGCGAUGUGGGGCUCACAACCCGCGAUGCGAGAUAGACAAUAGCGAUCAUCUUGGUUUCCAAUCGUAUUCGCGCGAUACGGGGCUCAUAGCUCGCGAUGCGAGUUAGGCAGAAGUUGAUUCCUUGGUUUCUUUAUUUCUUGCUUCAUUUCUUCUUGCCAAAACGUCGCUAACGAAUAUACCUCAAACUUAAUCAACGAUAAACUUAUAAUUUUAUUUUUAUCCUACUAAGUUAUAAUUUCUAAAUUGGUCCCCCAAACUUGAUUUCGGGCUCCGUUCCUAAAUUGCUGGAUUGCAUGAGCAUGGUCCAUGCCGCAGUAGAACCUCAUCAAGGCCAGUGUUCUUUUUUCCCUUAUAUUAGUAACAAACAAAUAGUGUGAACACAUUGCAUAAAUAGGAUAUGCUUGAUAGUUAAUUCCACCUUCUCAUUCUACACAAAGUAUGAAAAGAACCAAUUGAACUUGAGAUGCCGUUUACGUUCAUUUCCAAUUUCCAUCUAUUUUAUUAUUAAACAGGAAUGGCAACUUCCAAGUGCUUGAAAGUCCAUCACCUAAAAUUGACAAUUGUUAUCAGUCACUUUUUUUAAUAAUAUUUGUGACUCCACACAUGUACCUUUGUAAUAUAUACAAUUUAUAUCAUUUCAAUAUUAAUAGUCUGUGUCGUACACGGGACAUUAGACUGGUAAUAUUAUAUAAUUUAAAUCUUCGUUUUUUAUUUUGAAAUUAAAUCAUCUUUGAAAUUUAUAACUCGCAAAAACUUGUAAAACAUAAGUUUUAUGAUGAUAUAAUUAAAAGUGAUAUAAGAAUUAAAACAUAACCAGUAAAAAUUAAUUUGAUUCAUAUUUUUUUCUUAGGGAUGAUCAAAACUCAUCUUAAAUUGGAUUUCUCGGAAACAUAAUAUUAGAGGUACGAAUAUGUUAAAAAUAGUGUCAAAUAAUGAAUAUACAUCCUUGUACCUAAAUAAUACUCCUAAGUAGAUAUAUGAAAACAUAUACUCCCUCCGUUUUUAAAUAUAAGCAAAAUUGACUUUUUAGAUUCAUUAAAUUAAUGAUGUAUAUAGUCCAUAAUAUAAACCACAUACAUCAUUAAUUAAAUGAACCUAAAAAAUCACUUUUACUUAUAUUUAAAAACGGAUGGAGUAUAGAGUAAUGAAUAUAAUUAACUAAAAAAAUUAUGAGUAUACAUCCUCCAUCAUAAAAGAAUGAAUAUACACCAUAGCUUCGAAUUAAAAUUAAUGCUUGAGAAAAAAUCAAUUUUAAACUUCGUAUAUAAUCUAUAAAAACAAGAUUUCUUAUAUCUAUCCAAACUUUUUCUUAUAUAAAAUCAAACUUUUAUUUUGACAAAAGAAAAAAAUCAAACUUAAGAAUGGGUACUCCCCCUAAUAUACACCCAUCGUUUCGUGAUACACACACUAAAUACUAAUUGAAAAAUAUAUAAUUUUAUAUAUAAAAUUUAUCCUCAUGAGAAAAUUUCAAUUAAAAUAUGUUGCUCCAUAAUAGUUAGACAGUGACGUAAAUACAUUUGAACCAAAUUAAUUUUUUUUAACCAAGGAUGCACGCAACUUAGGAGAUUGAUCCUCACAUAUUUACUUAAGCUAUUAAUCUCUUCUAACAUAUAUGUUUUCAUAUACACAAGUCAGAGAACGAACUUUAUACACACACAAAAAAAAAAUUGUAUAUGUAUGUUGAGAACAAACUCACAACGUCCAAAUUAAUAGCAUAUAAUGACAAAAUGACUACAAAAAAUAUGAUGAAAUCUAAAUCAUCAUAAUAUUCAUGCUUCCGGAUCUGCAACGUUGGCGUCCAAAUCAUUGAUUGAAUCUGUGAUUGACUGAAGCUAAUCUUUCAAUAUGAAUCAAACAAACACUGCAACAAAAUGUGAAAUCAAACAAUGCCGCACAAGACGACGAACAACACAACGCCGCACUCGGACGACGAAAUCACGAAACAAAACACAAAAAAAACACUUGAUAUAUGUGGAAAUCACUUAUUUAGAUUGAAAGAAAAUGGAAAAAAGGAUGCACAGGGUGAUUCUAGGUCAAAAAAUGAUCUAAAACCACCCCUCCUCGACGAGUGAAAGAGAAAUAAAACUUAAAGAAGUUAGAGUUUCUCUCACUAAAAAACUAGGGUCGGCUCGCAAACAAAUUACACUCUUAAAAUAAAUAGAAAUUUUAAAACUGAUCAUUGAAUGUAUAUUUUUUUACAAUCAUAACCCUUUUACUUUUUACAACAAAUUAAACAAAUAAAUUUAAAAUAAUAAUAUCAAGCUAUCAUUGUCUUGUGUAGGGGUGACCCAAUAAGAUUACAUUUUUAAUUAAUCUUGGAAGGCAUGAAACACCAUGCUUUUCUAUUGACCAUUAGAGAUUUCAGAAAGCAACCGUUAUUAUCUCAAAUAACAUUCGAACAAUAAUUGCAUGUUUUUCCAAGCCCAUGCAACAACUAUAAAUAGUUAAAGCUUUCUCUCAUUUUUCCACAAGCAAAACACAAAUCGUUUAUUCCAUUCUAUCUUUCAUUCUCUCAAACUUCUACUAAAAUUACUUCAAUUCAAUCCAAUGGCAUCUUUCCAAUCCUUCAACUUUGAAACUGAAAUUCCACAAGAGCUUCUCAUAUCUCAAAUCAUGCAAAUUCAUACAACCAUUUCUAAGCUAGAAUCUCUUAGGCCUUCAAAACAAGUCAACACCCUUUUGACUCACUUAGUCAAACUUUGCAUCCUCCCUUCAUCCAUUGAGAUUGAAGCCUUGCCACAAGAGGUUAAGACAAUGCGUGAAAGCCUCAUUCCCAUUUGUGGCAAAGCUGAAGGACUUUUGGAGCUUGAAUUCUCAACUUUCAUUAGCCAAACACCAAAUCCAGCAAAAAAUUUAACACUUUUCCCUUACUAUGGAAACUAUGUUAAACUAGCAAACUAUGAAAACAAAAUCCUCAAAGAAAAUGGUGUAGUGGAUGCAAAAAAAGUAGCUUUUAUAGGAUCUGGUCCAAUGCCACUAAGUUCAAUUAUAUUGGCAACUCAUCACAUGGAAUCAACUCACUUUGAUAAUUUUGAUAUCGAUGAGAAAGCUAAUGAGGUUGCUAGCAAGAUCGUGGCUUCGGAUAAAGCACUUGAAAAGAGGAUGAAAUUUGUGACACAAGAUAUAAUGGAAGCUAAGGAGAGGUUAGGGCAAUAUGAUUGCAUUUUUUUGGCAGCACUUGUUGGUAUGCGUAGAAGUGAAAAAGUGAAGAUUUUGGGACAUAUAAGUAAGUAUAUGAAGGAAGGUAGUGUUUUGCUUGUAAGAAGUGCAAAAGGGAGUAGAGCUUUUUUGUAUCCUAUUGUUGAGGAGAAUGAUAUGGUAAAUUUUGAGGUGCUUACAAUUUUUCAUCCAACGGAUGAUGUUAUCAACUCGGUUAUUCUUCUUCGCAAACCUAAAGCUUGAUCAAUAAGCUAAGUUACCAAAUAAGUUGAAUUUCUACUUGAAGAAGAAUCUAUUUAUAGUGUAGAUUCAAAUGUGUGUUGUUCUUUUGAUUGAAAGUGUUUCUUUUCCUAUGAUAUACUUUGUAUAAUUAGUGAGGUUUAGUGUUAUGUUCUAGUGCUUGCCUCAUUCGUCUUACUUUAUAAGAUGAUUGAAGAUUAUGUAUCGUAAUUCCAAAUAAUAAAUGAACAAGCUUUGUGUUUAUUUUUUAAUUGUUUUACUUUUUUUUAGAAAAGAAGGUGCUAAUCCCCAAAGACUACAAUGGAACAAACCUGAGAGAUUUGAUUCAAAGGUUGAUCAAAAACCUUCAUCGAAGUAACUUCACACGUCAUAAGCAUCUGCUACCUUGUUUGCUUGACAAUACAUAUAGCAAAUACUUGAUGGGAUAAAACCACAAGUGCACGGUUCUACUGAAGUAGUAAAAAUAGAGUAUCGUUUCGAUAGGGAGUUGUUCAAUUCAAUUAACUUUAGUUGAUGAUUAGAAAAGGUUAAGUUGCAAAGUUGGGGUUUUCAAACGGUUAAAAGAAAAUAUAAUAAUAAAAAAGAGCCUUGGGAUUAUUGGUUCAUCAUAAUGACAAACCCUUCACAAACCAAAACCUUAAACCUAUAACUUUAUGUUAGACCUACUUUCUAAUGACAAAUUUCUCUUUAGUCUAUCACAUCUCCUUUCGGUCUCGGUGAGUGUGUUUCUCUAGCAACCACGACUAUUUUCAUGGUUGAUUGCUAUUGAAAUCCUUCAAGCUCGAAACUUUAUUGUCUCAAGGUUUGCUAGACUAUUUUAAUGUUUUGCAAUCCUUAUCUAUAUUCACUUGUUCCAAUAUUAAAACUUCAUCUUUCGAUCAUUCGCUUAAUAUUUGUGAUAAAUCAAUAACAACUAUUAAACUUCAUCUUUCAAUCCUUCGAUUAAUACUUGUUAUUGAUUAUAAGAACGGUGAAAUAGAUUAGAAAUCAAGGUUACAUAAAAUUAGGGAUUAAAGCUUGGUUUGAUUAGGAUUAUGUCAUUAGACUUAUCCAACAAUCUCAAGACAAGAAGAGUCUACUCACUCAUGUUCAUCGUAGACAUUGAGAAGAAGAAGAAGAAAAGCAUAAAGUAAAUAACAAAGAAAUAAAGAAAUAACUUUUAUUAAGAAAGACAAUUGUCACUGAUUGAAUUCCAAGAACAAAAAAUGAAUUGUUGUGAUAGCUCGCUACUCUAUUUAGUCUUAUGUCGACUUAAAACCUAAGGAACUAUUCACUAGAAUGUUCAACAAGAAACCACAGACUUUUAGGUCAAAAUAGGUAGCUUGUUUCCGAAGCAAAAGCAGCAAAAGAGCACCCUGAAGCUUGGCACGGGCCGUGCUGCUGGUGGCACGGGCCGUGCCUCCUCGCUGACCUGGGGAGUGACAUAUUUUUGUCCCAUAUUUCAUAUUUUCAUCCUGAAUCAACUUCUAAUCCUCUUUCUUUUGCUCUAAGACUCAAUCUAUCAAACAUUCGUUCCUGAAAUAUAAUAAUUUGCAAUUGAAGUAAAAUAGUUCUAAAAGGAAAUAAUAUUUAAAUAAAAUAAACUUAAAUCUAAGUAAAACGGAAUCAAAUAUUAUAUUAAAACUACUAAUUAUUGACUCAUCAAUACUCAUCCUCAAAUAUCUUUAAGGAAACAUUUUGAUUUCUUUGAAUCAAAUUAAAACCAAAUCCACCGCUAUUUUAUCCUGUUCAAGGUAUUAACACCCGCUUGAGGGUCAAUUCGAAGCUCAAUCAUCCAGAAACCCUGCACUUUGUGUAAUUUAAGUGUUAAUAGAAAGGAUGUCUUAAUGCCACAUAAAUGACAAUUUAUAAAUGUAAAUAAAGGACAAAAGGCAUAGAACUUGCAAAAGAAAUAAUAAUUUCAAAACAUGAAUAAAAAGAGGAACCAAAUUAUAUACUAAAAAUUAGUAGCAUGCUGAGCAAGUUUGUCAAAUAUAUAUAAUAUUUUAUAUAUAGAUUUUUUCAAUAUAAGCCAGACGAUGUAGAUAAUUAAAUUAGCCUAAGCAAUAAUGCAAUAGAAUAUUCACACAAUGGAUUCUUAUAAAACAACAUACACAGAUGAACAUAAAUUCAAACAUGUAACUUACUUUCAAAAUAUUGGAACUAAGCUUUCAACAUAAUCUAUGACAUCGUCCCAAUAUGCAUUAUCUCUAGUUCUAUUAUCGGUAACAGGUCUACAUACAAUAAUUUAUGUUCGCUUAGUUCUGUUAUCUCUCCUAUUAUAGAGAAUUGUUUCAGAUUCUUCAAUUGAAUGAUACAACAUUUAAACAAACUUUUCAACAAACAGUUGAUAUGCAUGAAAAUAAGUCCCCAUUGGUUUUAGGUAUUUGACAUUGUGGAUUAUUAUUGUAUAUUGAAAACAUAGGAGCAAAAUAAAAGAGUAAUAAAUCAAAGCAAAAGAGAUUUGAACGAAGUUUUAGGGUUACUAACCAGAGGGGAGUCACAGCCGGAGAGAGGCGUAGUGAUUCUGAAUUUGAAGUAGCGCAAUACACAUGGUUUUCAGAUACAAAAUGCCAAGUUUUUAACAAGUUUGAAGUAAUCAAAUUCUAUGUAUCUAAUCUAGUAAAUUUUUCGAGUUAAAAUCACUGGUCCCACCAAAAUAUUUGCCAAUCCUCCCAAUCUUACAAUUAAGAUUGUUGAUCCCACACAAUCCUACCAGAUUGCGGUUCUGUCUGUUAUUGGGAUAAUCCAAGUCGUCAAGGAUCUUACUUAUGAGUAAGAUCAUGAGUUUGACUACCUUGCCAAAUAAUUGUAACGUAUAAUUAUAACCCCAAUGUUUCUCAAAAUUAAAGUGUUUGUCAUGGUGUGGGGAUUUCUUCAUAUGGUUUUUGGGAUGGUUAGAAAUUUAGACUGAAUAAUAUUUAUAGGAGUAUCUUAGGCGGGUGCAAAGCUUGAUUUUGUCUCUUUUAGGAGACAUCUUUGUUGGGCAUAAAAUGCAUGGCAACAAAGGAUGCAUUUCGACAUCAUUGUCUUUGUAGUGCAUACUCAAGGAGAUAGUAAGUAAUGGUGAUGGAGUGCAUGCACACAAGCAUUGGUACUCAUGAGCCAGGCUCGCUUGUAUGCCUCUGGAAGAGAGAAUGCUACUCACGGCUUUUAAAGAGUCAACGUUGAACUGCAUUCUCAACAGGGACUCCUUACUAAGGUGUUACUGAAAACCUUGAUGUAGUAUCCUAGUAUUGAGAGCCAACAAAUCCAUUGAAAUGGUAGUGCCUUAGUUUUGGAGAAUGGACUAUUUCUCUAAUUCUCUAUUGAGUGUGGUACAAAGGGAGUCUGGUGUGAAUGAAGAGCACAAAGUGAUGUUCAUCAAGUGCACUUCUAGAGGGUUGCUGUCUUUGUGGUGGCUUAGCAACAUUUAUCUUGAUAUACUUCACCCAAAACAGAAGUUAUUGUUAGAAUUAUUUUGUUUAUCCCUUUUCAAAGUUGUUUUCUAUUUAAAUAUAACUUAGUGAUGUUGAUGUAAACCAAAAAUCAGAAUAGACAAUUGUAACCGCAAGUUCUCAAAUCAUGGGGUUCUGACAGUGGCCCAAUAUGGAUGUAGUGCUCAAUAUAAGAUAUGUAAUUUUAGUUUUAGGUUUCUUGUUAUUUUUUAUUCAUAUCUUCUCUCAUUGCAGAAGAAAGUUGUGCAUUGUAGGCUGUUUAGAUGAAACGCAAAUUGAUGUAAAAGAAGAGAAAAGAAACAGUAAUCAGGCCAGAUAAGGAACUGGAAAAUGAAGAAUUGAAACCCUCAAUGUUGCUUGUUUUAUAAACCUGUUCUCUACCUGUGUUUCGUAAUGACAUUUGUUAAUGUUUCCAAUGUUUGUGUGGUUGUAGGUGGUCCACAAGCUGCAUGUAUGGGCUGUGCUGGCUUUGCCGCAUUCUCAGUCGUCAUAGAGAAGUUUCUAGAGAGGCAUCAAUAAGUGAAUUAACUUGGAUCAAUUUUGUAUUCUUCGAUCAUAGUUUAAGUUCUUGAUCAAAAUAUUUUGCCCAUACGAUAGAGGGACGUGAUAGGGAGCAAGACAAAUUGCAAUAUUAUUUCACAUCUGUAAUUUAUUUGUAUACAAUGUCAUUGGCGGAUGCAUUCUCCGAACUUGGGAAAGCUCUGUGAUGACAUGGUUUAGUAUUGGAAAAUGCCAAGCAUUACGAAAACCAUAGGGAGCAAUAAUUGUGAUGAACUCUUUAAAGUGCUUAGCACUCCUGUUUAGUGGUAAUAGUUAAUUUCAAUAGAUUUUUCUUUGUAAUUCAUUCUUUUUU
rnacentral:lncRNA from 1 species